rnacentral:rRNA from 1 species
UACGUAGGGUGCAAGCGUUAAUCGGAAUUACUGGGCGUAAAGCGUGCGCAGGCGGUUAUAUAAGACAGAUGUGAAAUCCCCGGGCUCAACCUGGGAACGGCAUUUGUGACUGUAUAGCUAGAGGACGGCAGAGGGGGAUGGCAGUCCGCGUGUAGCAGUGAAAUGAGUAGAUAUGCGGAGGAACAACGAUGGCGAAGGCAAUCCCCUGGGACUGUACUUACUCUCAUGCACGACAGCGUGGGGAGCAAACAGG